CAAUAGCGUAUAUUAAAGUUGUUGCAGUUAAAAAGCUCGUAGUUGGAUUUCGGGGCAGCCUGGCUGGUCCGCCGCAAGGCGAGUACUGGUCAGCCGCCCUUCCUCUCGAAAGCCCCGACUGCUCUUCGUUGCAGUGGUCGGGUAGUUCGGGACGUUUACUUUGAAAAAAUUAGAGUGUUCAAGGCAGGCCUACGCCUGAAUACAUUAGCAUGGAAUAAUGGAAGAGGACCUCGGUCCUAUUUUGUUGGUUUCCAGGGCCGAAGUAAUGAUUAAGAGGGACAGUUGGGGGCAUUCGUAUUUUAUUGUCAGAGGUGAAAUUCUCGGAUUUAUGAAAGACGAACAACUGCGAAAGCAUUUGCCAAGGAUGUUUUCAUUAA
rnacentral:rRNA from 1 species